GACCCUGUAGUGAAGUUCAUAUUGAGUUGCAAACUCAUUGAUGUGCAUUGAAAGUGUGCCAGGGUCU
rnacentral:tRNA from 1 species